ACUGAGCCCUCUGCUCGCGUUGGUCAAGGCCGCUGUGAUUUUAAAAAUACAAACCCCUCGACUAAGAUAAAUACCCUGGAAUUAGACCUGCCGAUAUUACAUAGCCAGCUAUCUGGAGUAAAGAAACCUCUUAUUGAGGGAGACACAAGCGCUGAGAUUUGCCUGCUGAUGGAAGAAGUUUGUUUCCUGAGAUUAUACAGAGAGAAUGUUGCAAACCCCACCUUUCUUCAUACAGGCAUUGAUAUUGAUAUGGCAGAGGAAUGCUGGGGAUUGGCCAGGCUUCACUCCUGCCAGUCUCUCUCACAGGCAGCCUGUCUGGAGGAUUCAGCGUCCGGGAUCGAGCCCUAUCUCAGAGCAGGGACCCAGGCAACUGCAACAGGCUGGACUAGGAAUGCUUCAAUCAUCCGUCAGACACAAGAAGCCAGCUCUUAACAGCCACUGCAAAACAG